GUACUCCUUUAAAUAGGGAGCCGGGCGAAAGAGAAAGAUCUGUCCUCUCUCCCUGCCUGACUUACUUCUGCAGUCAGUGCACGACUGGAGUAGUAGUUUAGACAGGUGGAGAGAUAAGAAUGGGUUGUCAUCAGUCAGGAUGUGGUCAGAAGCUGAUAUCCAGCAUGUCAGGGUGAACUGCAGCGGAAGGGUUAACACUGAGUCUUUGUAUAAACCUCAUGUAUUGUUCAAUAAAAGUUAAAAAACAUUAUGAAAUGCUUGGCCACAUCUGUACAUCUUUUCCCUACUCCUGUGCUUUGUGAGAUGCCAUCUCUUUGCCCUCUCAGUCUCCUAAUCCACAGACAGCUCCUCAAAGGUACGGGGCGCCUCCGCCAUCAUUGAGCGGGGGAAGAAGAGAAGAUGCCGUGCUCGUAAGUGUGCAGGACUUGGGAGCCAGAAGCUCAUAUUGCAAGAAGAAUUCUUACCUACUACAACUGCAAUAGCUCCCAAUGCCAGGCCAAUGAUGAGGAGCAAGGGUGCAAUAAGAAGCUUCCCAGCUGAAAAACAAAAGAGAUUAUGUUCUUUAAGUUUCUGUUGGCAAAUGGAAAAAAUGUUUCAUGGAAAAUGAAUGCUGAAAUACCCAACAAGACCAGCAGAGGGGGUCUAUGCCCCAUCAUGUGCAAUAUUUGGACCCGUGUAUAGACACAAAGUUUGACAGAAAGUAGAUGCAAUAAAGACAU